UACGAAGGGGGCUAGCGUUGCUCGGAAUUACUGGGCGUAAAGCGCACGUAGGCGGACAUUUAAGUCAGGGGUGAAAUCCCAGAGCUCAACUCUGGAACUGCCUUUGAUACUGGGUGUCUAGAGUAUGGAAGAGGUGAGUGGAAUUCCGAGUGUAGAGGUGAAAUUCGUAGAUAUUCGGAGGAACACCAGUGGCGAAGGCGGCUCACUGGUCCAUUACUGACGCUGAGGUGCGAAAGCGUGGGGAGCAAACAGG
rnacentral:rRNA from 1 species